GAAGUAAGUUGCAUGCACUUGACACUAGCAAGGCUGUGAUACCACAAAAACGAGAGAUAUGCUUUAAGGCUUGAAUGCAGAGGGAAAAGUCUCCCAAGAAACUUAUUUGUUACAAAUUCUGUCCUUCCAUUACAGUUCCCUGCAGGCAUCUCAAUUCUGAUUUCCUGAGGAACACAAAGACUCAUCCAUAGGUAAUAGAAAUACUGAGAUAGGUAGUAAAAAUAGUAGUUUACAUUUUCCUAUUAUAUAUUAACUGUCUUAGCAGUUCUGCCACACAGGAACAUGGAAAUAUUURGCUGCGAAAUGGCAAGAGACACUGGAAAGCCAAUUAUGACAACUGUUCCCUUUUAUCUCUCCUUCCACCUGCCAAAUAUUUUCUGAAAAACAACUGGAAGCAAGAGCUCCUUGUGAGAAGUAUCCUAUGGUCCUUGCAAUCAGUAUGUCACUUUUUUAGAAUGAACAGCUGCUCCUUCCUAAAACAGAACUUCAAUCUUUCAAGAGAACAGUCAACACUUUCCCAUGCUGUGCCAGAAAUGAGUGUGGCUCCUUUAAAUUUUUAAAAGGACACCAGUGACUAGUUUGUUUCGAAUUUUCAUAUAUCUUCUAGAAUGGAUGCAUUACCACAUCCCUGAAGAAAAUAUUAUCUUUCCAUUCACUUACUUUAAAAUGCACAUCAGCAACAUGCUGUAAAAGUGGUUCUGAGGCUUCAGCAAACAGCCUGAGAUUGCUGAUUUCUGAUUUUCACACACUGAUACAGUCAUAUUCAGGCAAUGACAUUCCUUUUCACCUUAUGUUUCAGGAACAUUAGUAACAUGUGCCCAGAGAGGCUGUGAGUCUUCCUUACUGGAGAUACUGAAGAACCAUCUGAAUGCAAUCCUGUGCCAUGUGCUCUGGGAUGACCCUGCUUGAGCAGGGAGGUUGGACCAGAUGAACCACUAUGGUCUCUGCCCAUGCCACCCGUUCUGUGUGUAACAACCUUGUGAAUGCAACAGGGCAUGGUCCAGCAUGAUUUGUAUGGACUGCAAAAUCAUUGCAAAAAUCCUACAGGACAUUGAAAUACAUUUCCUCUGCAGAAAUUGAAGGAACAACCCUGCACAAAGUAUUUCACUUUUCCUGCCUGUAAAACCAAGACUCUCAUCUGGCUCAGGAAACAAUUUACAGUACUUCAGUUUAACUCUCAGGUACCUGUACAGAAUUCUAUACUAGUGUCAUUCUACCAUCAAAGAAGGCAAUUCAGAAUCAUGGAGGACCUCAAAACCCUUGGAAAAAGUAGAUACUGAUAAACAGAGAUAAAAGGGAAAUUAUUUUUUUAAAAUAUUGGAAACAUAGACAAGUAUUUUCUUUAAAGCUAGUAGCCCAAUAACUAGCUCAAGUAAUGAUGAAUCAAUUCUCAGAUCCUCACUGGCACUGCUAUCAUGUGCAAGAGUCACUUAUAUACAAGCACUUUACUGCAAAAUCACCUUUCAACAACUGAAUAUAUCAACAUUUCUGUCACCACCUCCUUUACUGAAUCUCAAUGAACAUCGUGAAAUCACUGCAUGUUCAUGCUUCCUAGAGGUCAGUAGCACUACCAACAGGAAUUACUUACUCUGGAGGAGGCAUUUUAGAUGGUUCCACAUCUCGGAGAAACUCGCACUGAAGAGCUUGUUCAGCUGUG